UACGGGGGGGGCAAGCGUUGUUCGGAAUUACUGGGCGUAAAGGGCUCGUAGGCGGCCAACUAAGUCAGACGUGAAAUCCCUCGGCUUAACCGGGGAACUGCGUCUGAUACUGGAUGGCUUGAGUUCGGGAGAGGGAUGCGGAAUUCCAGGUGUAGCGGUGAAAUGCGUAGAGAUGUGGAGGAACACCAGUGGCGAAGGCGGCUUUCUGGUCUGUAACUGACGCUGAGGCGCGAAAGCGUGGGGAGCAAACAGG
rnacentral:rRNA from 1 species